GAAGGAGAGAGUGGUGAUGAAACUCUUGGAGCUUGGUUUGGGUGAUAGUACAUGAAGAUAGGUAGAUGGGUUGUCUUGCCAAUUUAUUUUAAGGGCUUUCAUUAUCGAGAUGUAUUAGUGGGCAAGACAAGGACUAAAUCGGUUGAGGCUGAAUUAGAUGAGAGUGAUAGAGCUUUAUUUAUUUUUAUUGUAAAGUUGUAAGAUUUUGGAUAUAUUUUUAUAAGAGAAGUUUAUUUUAAACCC